AUUUAAAUAAUUUAAUUAAAAUAUUGAUUUGUGGAAUCAAAAAUAUGUUGAGUAACAUUUUAAAUA
rnacentral:tRNA from 1 species